rnacentral:rRNA from 1 species
UGGAUAACCAUGGUAAUUCUAUGGCUAAUACAUGCGCAAUCGCCUCCUUCUCUGGAGGGGCUGUGUUUAUUAGAUACAAAACCAACCCACUUUGUGGAGUCCUGGUGAUUCAUAGUAACCGAACGGAUCGCAUUUGGCUUCGGCCCGCGAUGGAUCUUUCAAGUUUCUGACCUAUCAGCUUUCGACGGUAGGGUAUUGGCCUACCGUGGCAGUGACGGGUAACGGGGAAUUAGGGUUCGAUUCCGGAGAGGGAGCCUGAGAAACGGCUACCACAUCUAAGGAAGGCAGCAGGCGCGCAAAUUACCCAAUGAAAACAGUUUCGAGGUAGUGACGAGAAAUAACAAUACAGGGCAUUUUAUGCUCUGUAAUUGGAAUGAUGGGAAUGUAAAACCCUUUCAGAGUAACAAUUGGAGGGCAAGUCUGGUGCCAGCAGCCGCGGUAAUUCCAGCUCCAAUAGUGUAUAUUAGAGUUGUUGCAGUUAAAAAGCUCGUAGUUGGAUUUCUGUCGUGGUCAUCCGGUUCCGCCCGUAUGGGUGCGCACCUGGUUUGCCCUCGGCUUUCUUCCGGUAGCCUUCCGCGCUUCACUGCGUGUGUUGGUGUU